rnacentral:rRNA from 1 species
UGGGGAAUAUUGCACAAUGGGGGAAACCCUGAUGCAGCAACGCCGCGUGGAGGAUGACACAUUUCGGUGCGUAAACUCCUUUUAUAUAAGAAGAUAAUGACGGUAUUAUAUGAAUAAGCGCCGGCUAACUCCGUGCCAGCAGCCGCGGUAAUACGGAGGGCGCAAGCGUUACUCGGAAUCACUGGGCGUAAAGAGCGUGUAGGCGGGUAAAUAAGUUUGAAGUGAAAUCCUAUGGCUCAACCAUAGAACUGCUUUGAAAACUGUUUACCUAGAAUAUGGGAGAGGUAGAUGGAAUUUCUGGUGUAGGGGUAAAAUCCGUAGAGAUCAGAAGGAAUACCGAUUGCGAAGGCGAUCUACUGGAACAUUAUUGACGCUGAGACGCGAAAGCGUGGGGAGCAAACAGGAUUAGAUACCCU